rnacentral:lncRNA from 1 species
GAGAUGGUGUGAAGAGUAUGACAAGAAAUGGGUGUGUGUCUCUGUUUUGUGAGGUGCAGAAUGGAAGUGGAAAAAACGACAGAAUAAAUAAGGCUCUCAGGUAUUUACUAGUUUGGAAAUAAAACCACUGUUUGAAUCCAAUAGGUCAAUUACAUAUAAAUACAGUGUGGAAGGCAGAUAGCCAGAAAUAACAGAUUUUAUUCUCCAGAGGGAAAGGGAGAAUUAACCAGAGCAGAAGCUUCUGGAACAAGGAUACUCCAUUAGAUAAGAACGAGGCUCCGCUCCUUUGUAAAAGUGGCAUAUAUGGGAAGAAUCAGAAAGCUUUCUCAAAGUUUGGGAAAAUGGAUGAAGCAGCUAUGCAGAGGUCAGCUGCAAGAGGGCGACGCGACAAGAAAUGCAAAAUCCAACAGAGCUCCUGCAGUUCCAGCAAUCUCUGUUCACAAAGUUCAUGACAUGAGAACAGGCUUAAAUGAUGAUGCCUAUUUUUUUUAAAAACAGCUGUGAAUCUAUGACCCAUCUGAGAGUGAAAUACAACAUCUUUCAGACUUGACAAGUAGGAUAAUGUAUAUAUAUUUGUAUAUGUUAUCUCUAAUAUCUGUCUCACAGGACCAUUAGGAGAAAUGAGACAGCAGAUGUAGG